CAUGCCCAGUACUUGCCAACAGUGCGUAACAGAGACGUGACCGACCGCCCAAGCGGCUAUCGAGCAGUGGUGAAGAGGAUUAAAGUAAAAAGUGAAAAGUUAAUUUGUAUAGUUUGGAAUAUACUGGGUAAUAUAUAUAGUUUAGAAUAUACUGGGUAAUAUAUAUAGUUUGGAAUAUACUGGGUAAUUUGUAUAGUUUGGAAGAUACUGGGUAAUUUGUAUAGUUUCUAAAUAAUAUUACCCUUCAACCGUACAGAUUCAUACCAUAAACAGUUUUGGCGUGGUGGUGUGUUGGUUCAGUGGGACGGUACUCGAUGUUGAUGAUGGAGGCCUCGGGUACGACUCCUUGACUGUCUCUUAGGAGACAUUGAGCAGGUCGAGGCACAGAGGCAGAAUUCUCAAAGAUCAUGGAAUGACUGCAGAUUCAACUACAGUACAAAACCCUCUGUUAUUGGUGUGGUGCAGUAUGUGGUCAGUGUGGUGCAGUAUGAGGACACAAGUGAAGUGUGGUGCAUUAUGUGGGGACAACAGACCACGAGUGAAGCUUCUCACAAUACACAACGGUGUUCCUUCAGGUAACAGCUGAUGUACGUGAAGGCCAAUGGAGAAGUGACAGAACCUCGAGCAAGAUUUAACUACCAGCAUGUUACUUCAGCCUCAUCAGUUAAGUUACUUGUACAAUAUAUCUUGGCUAGUAUCUUUAUCCAAUAAACCACUCGACACUGCUCCUACACUGGGCAGUGGAGGGGGUGUGUGGGGGGUGCCUUGCUGACUGUUUGAGGCCUAAUAGGUCUGUGUGUAGACCUAGUGAUCAGUGUGUGAGGCCUGGCGGACACUCUUGGAGGGCUAUGGAGGACGAUCUGUAGACAGACUGAUAUUAGAGUAAAAUUAAUAUUAGUUGUAGUGACAGUAGAAAUAUACAGAACUGUAUGCCUAUUGAUUAUUAGUGAAAAUUAGUAGCAGUAGUAAACAUAGUAAGUUAAAAAAGUUGUUGUGGGUGGGUUUCAACUAACUUUACUAACCAUAACCUAACCUAAGAUAAACUAUUCCAAGAC